rnacentral:lncRNA from 1 species
AUCCAUGACAUCAAACUCAUCUUCAUCAUUCAUAUUGAACAGUAAUGACGUUACGAAAUUAAUUCAACGACUUCGUUCGUUCCCAAUCUCAUCGAAUCUCGAAACCCUAAUCAGCUCCUUCACUUGCCUUCUUCAUCUCCAUUUCAUUCCACUUCUGGUAACAUCACUUCCCAUCUUAAGAUCUGUAUAAUUACUUCUUUCACCUUUUGUUUCCCCAUCUUGUUUUCGAUUUCAUAUUUCAUUCAUACGCUGCGCGAAUCCCUUUUCUAAUUUCAAUCUAUGUAUAUUCCUGAUUCAUACUUAGGGUUUCUAUUCUGCAAUUUUAUUUUAAA